rnacentral:rRNA from 1 species
UGGUUGUGGUUUUGGUUUGGGGACAGGCUUUCUUGGUAGGCAAGCGUGUGGAGUGACGCACAGUGGAAGCCUUCGCGAGGUGAUGGAAUACCUCGUUUAACCGUGUAGCUUACUGCCUAGGUAAAUCCGGGUGGUUUUAUGUGAGGCGGGAUGAUGACCAUCUUUUGGGUGGGAAGUAGGGGUGAUCCUGUGGUGCCGAGAAAAGCUUCGACGCGAGGUGGCUGGCCGCCCGUACCCUAAACCGACACAGGUGGUCGGGCAGAGUAUGCCUAGGCGCACGAGAUAAUCAUGGUUAAGGAACUCGGCAAAAUGCCCCCGUAACUUCGGGAGAAGGGGGGCCUGAUACUUGAUGAAACCGUUUUGUGGCUUUCUAGGGUUGAGGGUCGCAGAGACCAGGGAGAAGCGACUGUUUACUAAAAACACAGGUGCGUGCGAAGCCGUAAGGCGAUGUAUACGUACUGACGCCUGCCCGGUGCUGGAAGGUUAAGAGGAACCGUCAAUCAUUUGUUUGGUGAAGCGGUGAAUUUAAGCCCCAGUAAACGGCGGUGGUAACUAUAACCAUCCUAAGGUAGCGAAAUUCCUUGUCGGGUAAGUUCCGACCUGCACGAAUGGCGUAACGACUUCUCUACUGUCUCAACCAUGAACUCGGCGAAAUUGCAUUACGAGUAAAGAUGCUCGUUACGCGCAGAAGGACGGAAAGACCCCGGGACCUUUACUAUAGCUUGGUAUUGGUGCGCGUUAUAGCUUGUGUAGGAUAGGUGGGAGACUGUGAAGUGGUCACGCUAGUGAUUGUGGAGUCGUUGUUGAAAUACCACUCUGGUUAUAGCGUGUGCCUGAACCUUGGCCCGUGAUCCGGGUUAGGGACAGUGCCUGGUGGGUAGUUUAACUGGGGCGGUUGCCUCCUAAAUUGUAACGGAGGCGCUCAAAGGUUCCCUCAUCCUGGUCGGUAACCAGGUGUUGAGUGUAAGUGCACAAGGGGGCUUGACUGCGAGACUGACAGGUCGAGCAGGUACGAAAGUAGGAACUAGUGAUCCGGCGAUCCCGUGUGGGUGGGUCGUCGCUCAACGGAUAAAAGGUACCCCGGGGAUAACAGGCUGAUCCUGCCCAAGAGUCCAUAUCGACGGCAUGGUUUGGCACCUCGAUGUCGGCUCGUCGCAUCCUGGGGCUGGAGCAGGUCCCAAGGGUUGGGCUGUUCGCCCAUUAAAGCGGUACGCGAGCUGGGUUUAGAACGUCGUGAGACAGUUCGGUCCCUAUCCUCUGCGCGCGUUGGAAACUUGAGAAGGGCUGUCCCUAGUACGAGAGGACCGGGACGGACGAACCUCUGGUGUGCCAGUUAUCCUGCCAGGGGUAUGGCUGGUUUGCUACGUUCGGGAUGGGUAACCGCUGAAAGCAUCUAAGCGGGAAACUAGCUUCGAGAUUAGGUUUCCGUCCCAUAUGGGGGGAGGUUCCCGGUAGAUUACCGGGUUGAUAGGCUAGGAGUGUAGACAUUGUAAGGUGACCAGCUUACUAGUACUAAUUGACCGAUUACUAACAAU